GAGGGCUCAGGAUGAACGCUAGCUACAGGCUUAACACAUGCAAGUCGAGGGGCAGCAUGGUCUUAGCUUGCUAAGGCCGAUGGCGACCGGCGCACGGGUGAGUAACACGUAUCCAACCUGCCGUCUACUCUUGGACAGCCUUCUGAAAGGAAGAUUAAUACAAGAUGGCAUCAUGAGUUCGCAUGUUCACAUGAUUAAAGGUAUUCCGGUAGACGAUGGGGAUGCGUU
rnacentral:rRNA from 1 species